rnacentral:rRNA from 1 species
AGCAGCCGCGGUAAUUCCAGCUCCAAUAGCGUAUAUUAAAGUUGUUGCAGUUAAAAAGCUCGUAGUUGAAUUUCGGGAUUAAUGGAUCGGUCAUGCCGUUGGUAUGUACUGAUUUUAUUGAUUCUCACCUUCUAAAGAACCAUAAUGCCAUUAAUUUGGUGUUGUGGGGAAUUAGGACUGUUACCUUGAAAAAUUAGAGUGUUUAAAGCAGGCAUACGCUUGAAUACAUUAGCAUGGAAUAACGAAAUAGGACAUCGCAUUCUAUUUUGUUGGUUUCUAGGAUCGAUGUAAUGAUUAAUAGGGAUAGUUGGGGGCAUUAGUAUUCAAUUGUCAGAGGUGAAAUUCUUGGAUUUAUUGAAGACUAACUACUGCGAAAGCAUUUGCCAAGGAUGUUUUCAUUAAUCAAGAACGAAAGUUAGGGGAUCGAAGACGAUCAGAUACCGUCGUAGU